rnacentral:misc_RNA from 1 species
AAAGUCGUAACAAGGUUUCCGUAGGUGAACCUGCGGAAGGAUCAUUACCGGAGGAGGAUGGAUUUGAACCUGUUGCAAGGCUGUAUAUAUACGCGUGUAUCUAUUUAUUUCAUUCAAUUAUAUUCAUACAUAUCAACUUGGCACCAUGGAUCUCUCGGCUCUG